GUUUACACUCCUGACAGCCGCGGCCGCCGGCGGGGAGUGGGAGCCGCGGGAGGAUGGGCCGCCGCUAGGCUCGCACUCGGGACGCGCCUCGCCGUGCGCCGGGAGGGGGCCCGCGCCUGCAGCGUCCGUGAGGGCGGGGCGGCGGGACGUGGCCGACCGGCUCCGGGUCUCGUAGCCACAGCCCCUGGCCCCGCGGGCCUCUCCAGCGAGGCGGCGCCUGGCCGAGUCGCCCGCCCGCCCCGGGCCCCUCGCGGACCGGAGAACGGAAAACUCCCAACUUCCUGAUUUCUAAAGUUCCUGUGACUUCAGACAAUGGAUGAACAAUCACAAGGAAUGCAAGGGGCACCUGUUCCUCAGUUCCAGCCACAG
rnacentral:lncRNA from 1 species